rnacentral:lncRNA from 1 species
GAAAGUACUGGAAUCAUCUGCCCCCAGGGAGGUGCAGAAGGCUGAAGAGAGCAAAGUCCCUGAGGACUCACUGGAGGAAUGUGCCAUCACUUGUUCAAAUAGCCACGGCCCUUGUGACUCCAACCAGCCUCACAAGAACAUCAAAAUCACAUUUGAGGAAGACGAAGUCAACUCAACUCUGGUUGUAGACAGAGAAUCCUCUCAUGAUGAAUGUCAGGAUGCUCUAAACAUUCUCCCAGGUAGCCUCUAUUUUCC